UACGUAGGGUGCGAGCGUUAAUCGGAAUUACUGGGCGUAGAGCGUGCGCAGGCGGUUCGUUAAGACAGAUGUGAAAUCCCCGGGCUUAACCUGGGAACUGCAUUUGUGACUGGCGAGCUAGAGUAUGGCAGAGGGGGGUAGAAUUCCACGUGUAGCAGUGAAAUGCGUAGAGAUGUGGAGGAAUACCGAUGGCGAAGGCAGCCCCCUGGGCCAAUACUGACGCUCAUGCACGAAAGCGUGGGGAGCAAACAGG
rnacentral:rRNA from 1 species